CGUGGCUAACCUGCCCUUGGGACGGAAGCACCCCCGGGAAACUGGGGCUAAUUUCCGAUAGGGGAAGACUCCUGGAAUGGAUUUUCGCCUAAAAGGCGCUUAGAGCAUGCUUCUAGGCGUUGCCCAAGGAUGGGGCCGCGGCCGAUCAGGUUGUUGGUGAGGUAACGGCUCACCAAGCCUUUAACCGGUGCGGGCCGUGGGAGCGGGAGCCCGGAGAUGGGCACUGAGACAAGGGCCCAGGCCCUACGGGGCGCAGCAGUCGCGAAAACUUCGCAAUAAGCGAAAGCUUGACGGGGCUAUCCCGAGUGCCAUCCGCUGAGGAUGGCUUUUCCCUAGUAUAGAUAGCUGGGGGAAAAAGGAGAGGGCAAGUCUGGUGUCAGCCGCCGCGGUAAUACCAGCUCUCCGAGUGGUGGGGAUGAUUAUUGGGCCUAAAGCAUCCGUAGCCGGCUGGGCAAGUCCCCUGUUAAACCCAGCGAUCUAAUCGUUGGCCUGCGGGGGAUACUGCUUGGCUAGGGGGCGAGAGAGGCCGUCGGUAUUCCCGGGGUAGGGGUGAAAUCCUAUAAUCCCGGGAGGACCACCAGUGGCGAAGGCUGUCGGCUAGAACGCGCCCGACGGUGAGGGAUGAAAGCUGGGGGAGCGAACCGGAUUAGAUACCCGGGUAGUCCCAGCUGU
rnacentral:rRNA from 1 species